rnacentral:ncRNA from 1 species
AUGCUAUAUAAAAGGAAAAAAAGGUUAGUAAUACCCUUGAUGAAGAUGGAAGAGCUCCUAGUGGCCUUUACAACAAUAUAUGCUCAAUCUAUUGCCACCACUUUGUGGCAUCCAAUCAAUUUUUGUU